UAAGUGUUAGAGGGUUUCCGCCCUUUAGUGCUGCAGCAAACGCAUUAAGCACUCCGCCUGGGGAGUACGGCCGCAAGGCUGAAACUCAAAGGAAUUGACGGGGGCCCGCACAAGCGGUGGAGCAUGUGGUUUAAUUCGAAGCAACGCGAAGAACCUUACCAGGUCUUGACAUCUCCUGACAACCCUAGAGAUAGGGCGUUCCCCUUCGGGGGACAGGAUGACAGGUGGUGCAUGGUUGUCGUCAGCUCGUGUCGUGAGAUGUUGGGUUAAGUCCCGCAACGAGCGCAACCCUUGAUCUUAGUUGCCAGCAUUCAGUUGGGCACUCUAAGGUGACUGCCGGUGACAAACCGGAGGAAGGUGGGGAUGACGUCAAAUCAUCAUGCCCCUUAUGACCUGGGCUACACACGUGCUACAAUGGAUGGUACAAAGGGCUGCGAGACCGCGAGGUUAAGCGAAUCCCAUAAAACCAUUCUCAGUUCGGAUUGCAGGCUGCAACUCGCCUGCAUGAAGCCGGAAUCGCUAGUAAUCGCGGAUCAGCA
rnacentral:rRNA from 1 species